AGAAGUAGCUUGCUACUUCGGCGUCGAGCGGCGGACGGGUUAGUAACGCGUGGGAAUAUACCCAGUUCUAAGGAAUAGCCACUGGAAACGGUGAGUAAUACCUUAUACGCCCUUCGGGGGAAAGAUUUAUCGGAAUUGGAUUAGCCCGCGUUAGAUUAGAUAGUUGGUGGGGUAAUGGCCUACCAAGUCUACGAUCUAUAGCUGGUUUGAGAGGAUGAUC
rnacentral:rRNA from 1 species